GAGAGAAACUGAUGUUUCUUCGUCAAAGACUAAAGUCGGAAUAUGGUUCGUCUUUUACAUCGAUCCCCGACGAUCUACGCCAGCAAUGGCGUUUGGGAUGUCAAAGCGAGACGAAUCGUCAUGUAUAAUCUCUGUGUGAAUCUUUGAUUUCUUCUACGUUUCUAAUCCUCCAAAACGUUAGGCAUUGAUUCAUGCCUUUAACAAUCGUCUUAACUCUAUCAACCCACUCUUUCCUUGAUAUCACAUUCAUGUCCCCUUUCCUUCCAGUCGGUUAAUCUGGAUCUAUAAAUAGAUUAGUUUGUAUCCGUAAAUUUCAUCAUUUCAUUUCUCACAGUAAUAUUGAAACAAAAACCAUUCACAGAGUACAAUUUCGAACUUCUCUCUCCUCCUUGCUGAUUGAAAAACGGCCGCUGUAUCACCACCGUAGAAGUGCGUCUGCUGGAUUUUUGGGAGGCCAGCAAUAUGAAGAGAGGCGGCUACUGCUCCUCGAGCUAGGUAGAUGUUGAUGCAAGCCACCGUAAACGUCCACCAUCUCCCAUAAUUUUUUUUUUUACGAAUCACUACCUUAUAAAACAGUUGGAUAGAUAAUCUAUGACACCGUCCAAGCUCAAUGCUUUUGUGCUCAAUUCACCACCCCAGAUUGUGGAGUUCCUACACUGAGGACGUUCUCGAAAUUGAAACCGCCAAUGGCUGGUCCUAUAUCUCAUGUUCCAACUGCUUCCGGAAUUUUUAACGUGGGUUCUCAUCUUCCACCCGUGCAUCAUGUAAUGGCAAAACGCUGUUUGGGUGGUAAGGUACUGGGUUGAAACGACAGUCUUUGAUGCGUCUGACUCUACUAUGUUUGUGGGUUUUGAUAGUGAGAUGAACAAACUUGGGACCAUUUGUUAAUUAUCUUUCUCUCUUCACCUCUCUCAGUAUAGCUAAAGAAAGCUCUUUUUUCAUCAGACCUUAUCGCUUCUUCUUCUUCCUUGAUCACAGUCUUAAAGUUUUGAUUUUUUUUUUUGCUUCAUUUAAACAGAGAAGGCAGUAUAUAGAUCACCAUGGAACCGGAGUCAUAACCACCACGAGUUACGCCGGACCAGGAUCCAGUGCCGCUGCCAACAGAAGAUCUUGGACAUCCCUAAGUCUCUUACUCUUAGGUGGUUUGAAGGUGAAGAAUGUUGUCACUGGUGAUGUUUCGGAUUUGAAAGUGUCUAGGUUGUUCUUUGCGAUUGGUCAUGAGCGGCAACGAAGUUCUUGGAUGGGCAGCUUGAGUUUGAUGAGGAUGGGUAUUUGGUGACCAGGCCUGGUACCACUAAGACGAGCAUGGUUGGUGUGUUCGCUGUUAGGGAUGUGCAAGACAAAAAGUAUAGGCAGGCCAUUACAGCUGCAGGAACUGACCCCUGCUCAGCUCCUGAUGGAAGAAUGGCGAUAUCAUCGAGACGGUCAUGGAACAAGCUAGCAGUGCAGGUCCUAACAACGUCGCUUGAUCUCCUUGGAACAAACAAAAGGGAUUUAACCAUUAAAUUAGUCACUUUUAAAGUAGUUGGAGUUUUAUGAUGAGAGUAUCUUAAUUAUAUUGAAUGAUUUUCCAUGGUUUUGAUACAUAUACACACUCUUUUUUGUA